GUUCCUCGCGGCCUUGCAGGUGCUCAGGCCGGGAGCAGGCCUGUGCUGUCAUCGAGGGGCGCCCCUAGGUGCGGUGGGACUAACUCCACCUCCGCCGGGGUCGAGGGUCAAGGGUGGGGGCUAGGGCCAACCCACUGAGAAGCAGCACAAGGACGCUGCAGUGAAGGGGAAAAGGGAGUCGGCCGCGCGGGAUCCCAAGCUAACGCCAGGCUGUUAACGGGUGCUGUGGAUUACAGAUGAUCGCACUCUGGGCACAGUCCUCUGGAAAUGCAGAUGCCCGUGUGGAGGAAAUUCUGGCGGGAGAGGAGCGGCGACUCGCCGCUCUGCUUGGAUCUCAAGGCAUGAGGUUCUGGGUGUGCCUCGCAGCCUGCAGAGCCAUGUGGGGCCUUGCUGCCAGACGAGGACGGGCUGAAGACAGCAGCUCGUCUCCAGUGGACGCCUCCAAGUUCCCAUGGAGGGGUGGGCAGCAUCGCACCACCAUGAUGCCUUGUCUGCUGCGGGUGGGAGUUUUCAGGCCCUGUCAUGUGAGACCCACGGGGGAUCCUUCCUGCGAUGUGCAGCCUCCACGACUCGGCUUCUCCAGAGUGCCAGAUACACAGGUGGCAUUUUAUGGCAGUGGUCACUGGGACCCAACUCCCUUCUCUGUACACAGCUGUUUUUUUAAUUUCCAGGUCAGAAAAAUUAUCUUCCUACUUUGAACUCUUUCUCCUUUUUGCCAAAAAUGUUUCUCUCUUACAAUGCAGAAGCAGAACACAGCUCCUGCUCUUGAAAUACUGGAUGGAUGUUUCAGAGGGUAUUGUGAGGCUUGGAGCUCCAGCCAGUGACAUUCCAGCCACAUCCUUCUCUCCUGGCUCCACUUCACAGAGGCUGGCUGUGUCUCUGGACUACACCUCAGAGCUAAUCUGCUUUCUGGAAGGGUCGUGUUUACUUCUGCUGGUGCUGUGCAUGUAGGAGACAGCUGUGGCCAGCCCUGUUUCCCUGGGGAGGUGGCAGAGGCGGUACCAUGAGCAAGGGAUGCAGAUGCUCAAGGGGGACCAGUCAGGGGACACGGGGAGGGUUUGGCCUCUCCAGCCAGGGGCUCGCCACCUCCAUGGUAUAAACAUCCAUGUGAACAAAAAAGUUCUAACAAGUACCAGCACACUGAGAAUAUUUUAAACCACAACUAUCGUGGAAAAUCUGGGAGGGUGGUUCCUAGGUCCAGGGUGGAAAAGUAGCUGAAAACCUGGUAGGGUUUGAAGAACAAUCAGAGGCGGCCUUCCACUUCUGAGAACAGUUCCUGUGAGUCACCUGAUGUUGUUCUAGAUUAAUUCUAUCAAAGACAGUGUUGGUCAACCCAGCUGCAGGCACUUGAUUUCCUCUAAAAGCUCUGGAUAACAGAAGCAGAGCUGUGAAGAAAGUCAAGUUGAAUAAAAUGCUUCCACUUAAAAGAAUAGGGCUUUUCCUUGAAAUGGUCCACUGGAUCGACCAUUUCCUCUCAUUUAUUAUUAUUAUCAUCUCCAUUCCCAUGCAUGCUAUUUAGACAAGGAAGGCUGGAAGCAAGUGACAGGUGCGGCAGUGCGCAGCAAGGCCUCUGCACCUGGCCCGUCAGUAGGGCCGGCACGCAGCCUGACUACUGAGUUUCUUCUGCCUCAUUCCUCUCCAGAGGCCCUCAACUUACAAUAGAGACCCAGGAGCUGGGAGAUGACUGAAUCUGUUAACAUGACACAGAAGGACUAACCCAUAAACAUGAGCGUGAAUGUCUUUUGUUGGGGGACUAAGGAGAUGACACUGAAAAGGAGAAUCACAAGCCAAGUGCCAUAAGCAGACCACAUUCCCUGCAAGCUGCCCUGCUAGGCUUUAUCCCAAAUCAAAGAAAAAGGGAGAAUGUCUUAAUAUUCUCACAGAUUUGUAACCACUUCACUGGGGUAAGUUUUCCUUUGUAUAGAUGACGGAUUAUCCUUCUAAGCUGCAAGCUGAUAAAUGAGAAGCUAAGUAUAAAAUAUCUAGAACUAAGGUAGAUGAAGAUGUCUAUAUGUGCACUGGGUGUCACUUAUAUAUCUGCCUGUGUUAUUAAGGGCACAAAGGUUGUGUGGGGCUGUGUAAACUAUAGAUAUUAGGAAUACAGAUUAAAACAGUAAUUUCACAAUGCAAGUAGUGCCAAGCCACGAAAAUAUGCCUGGAGCAUCUUCUCUUUUCUCUACUUCACAGAAAAUAUUUCCAUAGACACUUUUCACCAGGCAUCUGCAGCUGUUUUUUUUUUUUUAAACAAUCAUAAUUUUAAGCACUAUAUGGUAAGCCAUUUGGAAGCCAUUCGAAUUAUGCAUUAAAACAAGGAAAAAUAAGAUGCCACUUGACAUACACUGAAACACAUAAAAUCAGAUACAGACUCUUGGGUGGAAAAAGUAUGUUCUUCAACUUAGUUCAGAUGUUAACAUAUAAAACAUGCUCAGGGAACCCUGAAAAAAUCCAGAGGUGAACACUCUGAUGGUCAAUCACAUGUGUUCCUUCUUCUGAUCUGGAUGAUUCUUACAUUUUUAGGGCGCUGUACUGUUUUUUAGCCCUUUGACUCAUUAAUGUAUCAGGGAAUAAAAAGGAUAUCAAACUCAAACAGUUUAAUUGAGCUACUUGUCUACUGACCAAAAACUUCGUUUUUUGGGAGAGGUGCUGGGCUCUUGGGCAGGAAAGAGGGUAAAAUGUUGGCUCUGGUGAGUCAUCUACCUGCUUUCUUGCUGACCGCUGUGUCGGUGGGUAAGAGUUGGCUCUAUUCAGAAAACCUGAAUACUCUCCAUAUGGAAACAGAUAAUGGCUGCUGCAGUGGGGUGGGAUUCAUAGCAGUGCUAUGGAAGCUGCCGUCAACUAUUUGAGAAGCUGACUCUGUCCAGGUAACCACUGCUUGACGAAUUUCUUUAGGAAUUAUCCAGUGGAACUGGUAGCAUAAUCAUCUCUGUUGAGAAGGAAUGGUCUGAAAGAAGAUACUCUAUCUUGGAAGGUUUUCUGUUGAUAUUUAGAGACAAGCAGCAAAUAUUAGCUCGAGGUCAAUGCUGGAGAUUGUAAAACGGCUCUGCAUUAGUAACACUUUCCAAUCACAAGGAAUGUAUUUUCAUUGGUGUCUGGUUUUGGGUUUAAUUAAAUAUUUUCUUGGUUCAUACUAUCUAGCAGGGGUUAUUUGAAAUGACAAACAUUCUUUCUUCGUUUUCUAUGAACUAUACAGACUUAUAUUAACCCAUUGGCAAAGAAUUUUAAAAAGCAAAACAAUUUAAGCCUGUUGUCCUUGCCAGAAGCAAAAUGUGUAUCACACAAGACCCCACACAAGAACUACUCAUGGUUUCUCUGCCAUUCAACACAGCCCCUCUCCAGUCCCUGACGAGAACGAUGGGAAAAUCUCAGCAAUGCAGAGCAGAGCAGCGUGGACAGGGCGGGACGCAGACGAGAGGACACACACACACCAGUCAUGAGCACGUGCUGAGGAGGACAACCAUUCCCACUGGCCUGUUACUCUGCAGACCAAGGACAGGCAGGCGGUCAAAUCAAAGUCCUUGUUUUAGGGGAACUAGGUCCUGGGGCAAGAGAAGCAGCAUGAGGGGAUGUGUGCGAGCACACGCGUCCUCGACCUAGGUGAAGGACAAGGUCAGAGCGAGGAGCUGUACCGGAAAUGGGGGUCAAGGCAGUGAGGCUCCUACUUGGCUGCUGGAAAAGUCAAAGCUGGAGGCGGUUCUAACUGGAAUAAAACAAUGAGGCCGCGGCACAGCUACCACUUCACGGGCUCCACGCUAAUCACGAGCCGUCCCAUUUGGGAGGUAUGGUCAGCUAAAGCUCGGUCCACGUUUUCGCUUUUCCCCAAAAGAUGUACUAAAUACAAAGAUGUACUAAAACCUGAAAAAUGUCCUAAUUCUGAAAAUGAUUUAUCAGGAUUAUACAAGUUAAUUUUUAUUUGGAUAAAUUUUAGGUUCAUUUUCUACCAAGUCCAGUGCAAGGUAUUCCGAGCCUUUACAGUAUGAAAUUACUGGGAUUAUUUUGCUUUAAAAAAGUAUACUGCCUGGUCACCCUUUAAAAACAGUCCACUUAUUGAACCAUGGCUUAAAAUAGGGCAACAACUGUCACGGACUCCUUUAUUAAAAAUGAGAAUGGGCAGGUGCCGGGGUGCCUGGGCUGCAUGGUAGCUAACUGGGCUCCCGUAUCAGCAGCUCUGUUAGCUGUCGUGGAUCUGCUGGGCUUGGCUACUCUCAGGCAACCAGGGGAUCUGAAACGGAGGGACAGGGAAAUUACAUGUCCCCGCUGUGGGCUGAGGAUCAGUUUCCUCAGUACAGGAACCCACACCGAGCAUGAAUCUAAAACACGACUUAUCCUCUGGCCGGCACACUGCUCCCCCAUCAACCGAGAAUGACAGGAGCGGGUGGGCUGUGGAGGACAGAACCUGCAGUUCUCUGGUGAGUCCAUCCAUAUGUUUCGGAACCAAGUACAAUUUUCUAAGUGAUUUGCCUCCAGCCUAUUUCAACCUGCCACAGCUAAAUGAUGUCCCUCUGGAUGGUCACUGAUGUAGAGUGACCCAUACCUGUGGGUGCUUAAUAAAGAUUCUGAUCAUGUCACUGCCAGCAGUGGCUCCUCUCCCCUCAGUUUCAUUUCCUUCUUUCCAAGGCCUAAUUUUCUCCCCUAUUUAAUUGUCAUGAAUCUUUAGACUUUGGAGCUGGAGGCUACCUUUAAGAAUCAUCUGACCCAGAACUUUCCAUUCUCAAAUGGAGACUCCCAAGCCCAGAGAGGGAGCAGCAUCUGCCUGACUUCCCACAGCUGCCUGGCAGCAGAGCUGGGUUCAGGCUUCCAGCCUUCCAGUCCAUUAACUUUUCCCACCGUAACACCCUGCCUCGCAGGACAGAACCGACCGAAACCAAACCAAACCAAACUCCUGGAAACCUGAAAAGAGCUGCCAGCCACAGAACCCCAUGGAUGAGCACACGCGCUGUGCUACACACUGAAGAGAAUCUGGGGGUGGAGAGUGGUUGGGGAUUUUCUGAGGCAAAACGAGUGUAGACAGCUUUUGCCUAUCAAAGCAUGUGCUCCUCCAUCCCAAGUUUUAGUUCUCCCCGUGGCAUAUCCUUUUUCGGGUCAUUUCUGGCUGACCACUUUCUGUGGAGAAUUUGGGGGAAGGCUGUCCACCAGAGCAGCAAAUACUCACUGUUGAUGGUACCUGCUAGUGCAUUAAUAUUAUUCAGUCCAACAGUGGCUCCAGCCAGUCCUUGCAGAGUCCCGAGAGAGGUCAAGGAGUUCAUGGCUGCACCAGCAGUGGAGUUGGGGGUUGAAGCAGCCACUGAAAAAAGGAAAACAGAGACAAGGGGAGAGAAGACACGAGGUGAGUGAGAGCCGAGACUGGAAAUCCUUCUGUCAUCAUCUCAGUGGACGGAGCUGAGGAGCUGUGCUUGUGGCUUUGGGUGAAGGACAUGUGGGAUUGUACUUGUGGCAAUUUUGACAGAUUUGGUGAUUAAAAAAAUCUUCACAGCACUGUUUUACCAAUACUGCAAACACACUCACUGCUGGAUGGUGGGGAAAUCUGCGAAUGGGAGGCCUGCCCUGCCAGGUUUAGACAUAAUGAAGUUGACAAUCAUUCUUUGGCUUCAUUAUUGGAUAAUAUCUUGCUUAGUUCUUUUUUUUUUUUUUUAAGCCUAUGGGCAUGAGUAAGAUGGGCCUUUAUUUUUCCUUCUUGUACUGUCUUUAGUUUUGCUACCAAGGUUUUGCUAACCUCAUACAGUGACUGGGAGAGUGUUCCUAUUUUUCUGUUCUCUGGAAUAGACUGUGUCAGAUUAAAAUUAAUUGUCAUUUAAGUGUGUGGUAGCACUUGCCAGUAAAAUGUUCUGGACUUUGUAUUUCUUCAUGGGAAGAUUCUGAAAUAGUGAUUACAUUUCCCUGAUAAAUAGGAUGACUGAACUUUUCUUUUUGUUCUUGAAUCCGUUUUACUAAGUUGCUGCUUUCUAGAAAUUGCUGUAUUUUGUUUUCAACUCUAUAUUGGUAUAAAGUUAUUCAUAAUAUCUUCAAUAAACUUCUAAAAUGGAAAACAUUUAAAUGUAAGACAUUUCUUGGCCUGCCUGAUCUGUCAGUUACUGGAAGAAGCAUGUGAACGUCUGUCAUUCCAACUCCAUGUAAACAUGCUUAUUUUUGGAAAUGUAUCUUGAAGGUAUAUUUCUAUGCAAGAGGUUACUACUUGCAUAGAUUUGGAAAUUAUCCUAUCUUCUGGUGAAAUAAACCUUUUUGGGGCAACCUUUUUGUUUCUAAUUUUUCCUUGAAGUCUGUUUUGUAUGAUGUUUGGUGUAAGAAAGCCGGCUGUUUUGGGUUUUUGCAUUGGAUAUCUUUUGCCAUCUUUUUACUUAUCUGUUUGUAUUUUGGCUACAUCUCUAAUACACAGACAGGUUUAAAAACAACACAGCCUGAUAAUUUAAGUCUUUUACUAGGGGUAUUUAGAUUUUGUCCUAUUUGUUCUGCUAAUAUUACAUUUUUUUCUCUCCUUUCUUGCUGUCCUUUGAGACAGAGGCUCGCUCUGUCGCCCAGACUGGAGUGCAGUGGCAUGAUCUUGGCCCACUGCAACCCCUGCCUCCCAGGUUCAAGUGAUUCUCCUGCCUCAGCCUCCUGAGUAACUGGCACUACAGGCGCCUGCCACCAUGACUGGCUAAUUUUUGUAUUUUUAUU
rnacentral:lncRNA from 1 species